GGGCUCAGCUGGGAACUGCAUCUGAUACUGGCAAGCUUGAGUCUCGUAGAGGGGGGGUAGAAUUCCAGGUGUAGCGGUGACAUGCGUAGAGAUCUGGAGGAAUACGGUGGCGAAGGCGGCCCCCUGGACGAAGACUGACGCUCAGGUGCGAAAGCGUGGGGAGCAAACAGGAUUAGAUACCCUGGUAGUCCACGCCGUAAACGAUGUCGACUUGGAGGUUGUGCCCUUGAGGCGUGGCUUCCGGAGCUAACGCGUUAAGUCGACCGCCUGGGGAGUAGGCCGCAAGGUUAAAACUCAAAUGAAUUGACGGGGGCCCGCACAAGCGGUGGAGCAUGUGGUUUAAUUCGAUGCAACGCGAAGAACCUACCUGGUCUUGACAUCCACGGAACUUUUCAGAGUGGGAAGGUGCCUUCGGGAACCGUGAGACAGGUGCUGCAUGGCUGUCGUCAGCUCGUGUAGUGAAAUGUUGGGUUAAGUCCCGCACGAGCGCAACCCUUAUCCUUUGUUGCCAGCGGUCCGGCCGGGAACUCAAAGGAGACUGCCAGUGAUAAACUGGAGGAAGGUGGGGAUGACGUCAAGUCAUCAUGGCCUUACGACCAGGGCU
rnacentral:rRNA from 1 species